UUUACUUUUUUAGUUAAUUGAAUUAAAGUUUUAUUAAAUUUAAUAACUCUAUAAGUUAUAGUUAUUAAUUAUUUAUAAAAUUUAAUUAAAUCAUUAAAAUUUGUAAAAUAACUUAUGAAUUUCAUAAAAUAUUUAAAGUGUUUUAAUAAAAAUUACUAAACUAAAAAAAGAAGCUGAGAGAUUUUCUGGGAGAAUAUAUUAAUAAAAAUAUAUGUAUCGGAGGGGGUGGGCGUAUU
rnacentral:lncRNA from 1 species